rnacentral:rRNA from 1 species
UUUCAUGAGAGUUUGAUCCUGGCUCAGGACGAACGCUGGCGGCGUGCCUAAUACAUGCAAGUCGAGCGAACCGACGAAGUGUUUGCGCUUCUGACGUUAGCG